rnacentral:rRNA from 1 species
UCCUACGGGAGGCAGCAGUGGGGAAUAUUGGACAAUGGGCGCAAGCCUGAUCCAGCAAUGCCGCGUGAGUGAGGAAGGCCUUAGGGUUGUAAAGCUCUUUCACCCGCGACGAUGAUGACGGUAGCGGGAGAAGAAGCCCCGGCUAACUUCGUGCCAGCAGCCGCGGUAAUACGAAGGGGGCGAGCGUUGUUAGGAUUUACUGGGCGUAAAGGGCGCGCAGGCGGCUCAUUUUGUCAGGCGUGAAAGCCCCGGGCUUAACCUGGGAACUGCGUUUGAUACGGAUGGGCUAGAGUUCGGGAGAGGAGAGUGGAAUUCCCAGUGUAGAGGUGAAAUUCGUAGAUAUUGGGAAGAACACCGGUGGCGAAGGCGGCUCUCUGGACCGAUACUGACGCUGAGGCGCGAAAGCGUGGGGAGCAAACAGGAUUAGAUACCCUGGUAGUCCACGCUGUAAACGAUGUGUGCUAGACGUUGGGGAGCCUAGCUCUUCGGUGUCGCAGCUAACGCGGUAAGCACACCGCCUGGGGAGUACGGCCGCAAGGUUAAAACUCAAAGGAAUUGACGGA